rnacentral:rRNA from 1 species
AUUGAACGCUGGCGGAAUGCUUUACACAUGCAAGUCGAACGGCAGCAUAGGUGCUUGCACCUGAUGGCGAGUGGCGAACGGGUGAGUAAUACAUCGGAACGUGCCCAGUCGUGGGGGAUAACGUAGCGAAAGUUACGCUAAUACCGCAUACGAUCUAAGGAUGAAAGCGGGGGACCGUAAGGCCUCGCGCGAUUGGAGCGGCCGAUGUCAGAUUAGCUAGUUGGUAGGGUAAAGGCCUACCAAGGCGACGAUCUGUAGCGGGUCUGAGAGGAUGAUCCGCCACACUGGGACUGAGACACGGCCCAGACUCCUACGGGAGGCAGCAGUGGGGAAUUUUGGACAAUGGGGGCAACCCUGAUCCAGCCAUGCCGCGUGAGUGAAGAAGGCCUUCGGGUUGUAAAGCUCUUUCGGCCGGGAAGAAAUCGCACAGGCUAAUACUCUGUGUGGAUGACGGUACCGGCAUAAGAAGCACCGGCUAACUACGUG